GCGGGGCUGGGGCAGCCGGAGAACAUGGCGAGACUUGAGGGGUAUCGCCGAGGAGCUGUGAGGCUGUGGCCUGCAUCCCUUUUUCCGAGCUGUGAGGGGAAUCAGGAGUGCAGGGCUUUGGAUGUGCGGCUUUCACUCCCUUCCUCCCCUUAGAUUUGCUGUGUAUGUCUCAUCCCACUGGGUUUACACGGUGUCUGGCAGCUCUUUGUGACGAUCAGAGCCUUUUCCAGCCCCUCGAGAUGUGGAAGUUAAGCACAGAAAGAUGAAGUUGUUUGUUCCAGGUCAUCCAACAAAGCAGUGGCAGACAAAAAAAAUAGAAGUGAAUCCUUCAGUGCUUUUUCUGUUGCAUCACUCUGUCUUCCUGUUUUGAUGAAAACUUCUAAAAUGUCAUUUUCAUAGAGUUGAAUACCCAGAGAGCUGAGGACUGGCUGCUUUCUGCUGGAAGUUACUGACUUGGCCCAAAAUGGGGACCUAUCAGUUACUAAUUACAAAGAUCUUACAGACCAUCCUGGAAUCAACUACUUAUGAUUGCUUUGGAAGCCUCAGCUCUUUUUGCAGCAGCACCACCAAGCAGUAACAGACUGAUCUUUUGGGGCAGUCUCACCCCCUUCACUCCAGAAGGAAAGUGCUGCUCCUGCCCACUGUCCUGUCUGAAGCCAAGCACACUUCAUGCAAAGGAAUAAACUCUGAUGUUAUCACAUAGAGAAGGCUUGUAGAAAGUGUGUUUAUAAUUCUUCAGCUUGCUGAAUUCUUCACUGGGAAGAACAUGGAAGUACUUUCAGAUUCGUGCUGCUGAAAACCCUUUUUGUUCUUAUGCCCACACAUAUCUGGUAGAACCAUGUCUCUGCCUCCUUUAAAUAUUCUUUUAGCUAAUGUACUGCAUUAUGCAUAUUGUUGGAAAAGAAAAUGAAAAGCAGACUCCUCUUGAAUUCUAACUGUAAUUCUCUGUGUUAAUUUGCACAACUGACAAAAAUCACUCAAUAUGGAAAAUGAAUCUUUUCUCAUUGGUUUUGCAUAUAAUCUGUUAUAUUAAAUUUUGAUUGAGGUUAUCUGUCUAACUUUUAGGCAUAUAUAUGCAAAUCAAAAGCUCCAAGUAUUGUGUUUGGCUAACAGCCAGAAAUUCUGACUCACAAUCAUCAGUAGAAAACACUACAGAAAAUUUCCUGUGUCAGU